rnacentral:rRNA from 1 species
UACAGAGGGUGCGAGCGUUAAUCGGAAUUACUGGGCGUAAAGCGCACGUAGGCGGCUUGGUAUGUCGGGUGUGAAAUCCCCGGGCUCAACCUGGGAACUGCAUCCGAAACUGCCUUGCUAGAGUAUGGGAGAGGGAAGUGGAAUUUCCGGUGUAGCGGUGAAAUGCGUAGAUAUCGGAAGGAACAUCAGUGGCGAAGGCGACUUGCUGGACCAAUACUGACGCUCAGGUGCGAAAGCGUGGGGAGCAAACAGG